rnacentral:rRNA from 1 species
GCUAAGGUAGCGUAAUCAGUUGGCUUUUAAAUGGAGUCAGGAAUGAAUGGGAAAACCGGGUUUAGCUGUCUCCCAACUAUUUUCUUGAAUUUACUGUUUAAGUGAAAAAGCUUAAAAAUGAUAAAGGGACGAGAAGACCCUUAGAAUUUUUUUUAAAAUGGAAAUUUUUCUAUAAUAAUUUUGUUGGGGCGACAGAGAAAUAUUCAAAACUUUCUUUAAAUUUACAUGCCGAUAUUGUUAAGUAAGAAUAAAUUACCUGAGGGAUAACAGCAUAAUUCUACAGUUGAGUUUGUGACCUCGAUGUUGGACUAGGAAACUAACAGGCUAG